CGGCGCCCGGCGACCCGGGCCACCGUCGGUUCGCCUACAACGUGGACGGCGCGGGCGUGCCGUUCGACGCGGUCGUCGUCGUC
rnacentral:tRNA from 1 species